AUCGCUUCCCAGCCUUUGAACUAAGAUGAAGUGAGAGUGGCUGUUCUUACCAGUUUAAUAUCUGAUAUGACAGGGAGGUAAAAUGAGAGAUGCUUCAUUCUCUCGGUGCAUCGGCCUGGUAUUACGGUAUCUCCAGGAAUGGUACAGUCCAG
rnacentral:snRNA from 1 species